ensembl:lncRNA
UUAUAACAUAUACUUAAAUAUCAUUUAGCACAUUAUUUAGAAUAUACUGCCUUUGUCCAACACUCCUUUCCCUGAGACUCAAUUCAUUCUAGUAGGCUUGUUUUGUCUGUCAUUAAAAUACUGACUUCCUCCAGCUGCUACUACCUCUUUCUUGGUCCUUUAAUUGUUCUCCUCAACCAUGAGUCAGCAGCUGGACUUGAUGGUCAGAACUCUCAUGGAGAAAAGAAAUUUUCUCUGGGUUCCAGCCUUAUGUGAUGUGUGCAUUCUUGGCUCAGAGGGGCUCAGUGUUGGGCUGCACUCAAGGUGAGAGCAAGGUUUUCAUUAGGAGAAAAGUACUACCUCAGGCUCCCACCUGUGAAGCACAGUGGAGGGGCAGAAGGAACAUAACCAGCACAAACAUUCAGGGCUUCUCAUGGCCCACCAGUGGAUUUUGGGUCAGUCUCAGUAAAAGAUGCCUUUUGGGGAGAUGCCUCCCGAAGCACUUGGACAACAAGUCUCUUCUCUGGUCCUCUCCAGGACUCAUUCUUCCUUAUGUUCCUCCUUGUCCUGGGAGGUGGGUCCUUUGCUUCCUGGCUUCCAGCUGGUCUAGCGGUGAGAUGACUGCAGGAGACCCGGGCAGGUCAGGACGUUUGUUCCCCUGGUGCUCUCUUUGUGGGAUUCCUCAGGUUCUCUCUCUGAUGGAAGGUCAGAGCACCUCCCAAGGGGGCCCUCUCCUCACGGUUCCGAGUUCUGCUAAGCACUCCCUUCCUCAACCCUAGCUCCGUGAGAAGAGCUUCCCCUGUGCACUGCUGCCUUCCUCAGUCUGGGUCGUAGAAUGAACCUAUGUGGAGCAGCCCAGACCUUUAUCUGCAGAGGAGGGAAUCCCAGCAGGACACCAGCUUGAGGCAGAGCUCCCAGCUGAGCCAGCUGACCUCCAGUGAACCCACAGCCUGGGAGAAGCACAUGCUUAUUGCUGCAUUUCACCGAGAUUGUGUGAUAAAGGGUAGCAACACCCUACAGCUACUAGCACCAGGGUUCUGCACUUACCCCACAAAUACUCCCUUUAUUAAGCCCUUGGGGAGCCACCCUAAUUUGAGUGUCAUCUGUUUCCUGUAGUGACACCAAGUGAAUGACAUAGGCACCAGCCUAGCUCUUUCCUAACAUUAUAUCAUGUUGCCAGCAAAGCUCAAAAUAUGACAUUUGAUACCAGCAGCCCGUCUUCUGUUUCCCGUUUGCUACUCAAUAUUCUCCUGAAAGCCUGUUCUUAGAAGCUAAUAAUGACAUUUAAUUCUUUUUAUGUAUUAUUAAAAUU